ACUCCGGUUGAUCCUGCCGGACCCGACUGCUAUCGGGGUGGGACUAAGUCAUGGGAGUCGAACGACCCGCCGCUGCGGGGAGUGGCGGACGGCUGAGUAACACGUGGCUAACCUACCCUCGGGACGGGGAUAACCCCGGGAAACUGGGGCUAAUCCCCGACAGGCGAGGAGGCCUGGAAUGGUUCCUCGCCGAGAGGGGGCGCCGGGGGUUAU
rnacentral:rRNA from 1 species